CCCACCCUGCCUGCGUAUUCCCUUCCGUCCUCUUUUCCCUGGACGCGACGACAUCAGCCACAAGUGGUGCGCCUCCAAAAGUCAUCGCAUGGAAUAAUGAUGCCAUCAGAUUAAGAUACCUUUCCUCCCCGACCUCUCUUCCCCCUCUUUAUAAAUGGCCGCCGGAGCGAAAUUCGGCCGCCGACAUUAACGAAUUGCUGCUUACAAAAAUUGGGGGCGAUGGCGACGGCGACGACGACGACGAUAAUUCCUAAUUCUUCAUCGGUCAGGAAGUACACGCACUCCAACUGGACCGUGUAUAUAUAUAUAUAUAUAUAUCUAGAGAGAGAGGGAGACAAAGAUAGAGAGAGAAAGAGACUAAGACUGACAGAAGAGAGUGAGCACACGCAGGCAAUUGUAUGGAGUGCAUACCUUUGUUUAUACGUGUGCUCACUUCUCUUUCUGUCAGCUUCCACUCUCUAUAAUUUCUUGUUUAUCUCAAACCCCCCUUUGAUUUUCAUCCAUAACUCUCUCUCUCUCUCCUCUCCACUCCACUGCACACUGCGCAGAAAAAUUAAAAUAAAGCCACUUGGAAUUUCCCAGAACCAAAAACACAGACAGACAAGCUUAUCCACAGAGUCAAAUAGUGGAUAACUGUGCACUGCACAGUAGGAACACGAUAAGCACUAUUUAUUUCAUUUUUUAUUUUUGAUUUUGCAUUUUCCAUGGUUGUUGUUUGUUACUAUCUUCUUACAACCAUGAGAAUAUAGUAAGGGUUAUCCUGAUUAAUUGGGAAGGAUGGAAGAUGUCUGAAGGAGGAGGAGGCGUUGCUUUUGAUGUUGCUGUCGGAGAGGACGGUUUGGAUUUCCGAAGCUACAGGAACACUUUGUUUCAUUUCCAGUUCUCACCAGGAAAAAUCCGAUGAUUGGGUGGGUUAGAGACAUAAUUAAUUUGGAGGUGAGCGUUUCUGUUGGAGAGGACGACUUCGAUUUCGUGGAGUUACACUGAUUGGGGUGAGCUUCUUAACAGAUUAAUUAUAUCUGUGUACUUUCUUGAUUAUAUAUUUAUUUGAUGUUUUUGGUUUCUCUCCCUAAAACAUAGAACAAUCGUUGUUGUAUUCCCCAUAAAACAAUCGUUGUUUUAUUUGGUGUAAAUCUUUUACAUAAUGCUAUUUUAAUGGUUUAUCGCCUUGAAUUUUGGCUAGUCUAAAAAAAUUGUUUAUUUUGUGUAUAUUUAUUUAUUAUUUAUUCUUUGCUUUUUGUUGAUUAUAAGAAUAUAUGUUGGAGGAAAUGCUAAAAUGGAUGUAUAUAUAUAUUUUUUUACAUGUAGAUUUUUUUUUUUUUUUUUGUUUUUAAUUUGACCUUCACCCAAGCUCAUAAUUUUCGAAUUUUGAUUGUUAUUCUAACGAAUGAAGUUGUUACUUGCAGUGAGCUUCUUUGGUAUGAUUUAUUUUCUUAAAAGUUGGAAUUCCUAAUUUGUGAUCAUAUUUAUUAUUUGGGUGUUUUUAGGUUAGUUUUUUAUUACCUCGUUGAGUUGAGUUUUAUAUUGAAAUGUGUGAUAUUAUGUCGAUACAUUGGUUGGGCAUGUUAUCAUUCUUGUUGUAUCUGAUCUCAAAUUGCAGUUUUGGUGGUUGCGUCUUUUUAUUAGAUUCAUUCAUCUUGUUUGUUCGGAUAAGGUAUAUUUAGGUUUUGUAUUGUUGUAAUUGAAGAUGAUUUCGAAGACUUUCUAUAUUCUAUGUUUUUAUUAGAUCACGGCAGAGUUAGUCAAAGCUUUUUUGUUUUGUUUAUUACUUUUUGGGUGGUGCAAUGUUGUUAGGGAAAAAUGAAAAAAUAUAUGAAAAUUUAUAAUAAUCAUAUUAAAUUUUGAUGUCGCUACUUAUAAAUUUUACACUUUUUUCCUUAAAGUUCCACCAUUAACAUGAUUGGUGGCUUUCGCAACGUGAUCACAUUGUAAAAGGUCUCAAAUUAUUAUCAUACUAAAAUACACGAAGAAAAGAUGUUAUGAACUUAUGAUCAAAUUGUUGACAAUAUGAAGAAUUUAACAAGAUGAUGUUUUUUAGCACCCACAGAUAGGACCAGAACAAAAAUAUUGCCCAAAUCUAACACUUGGGCAGAACCUGUCACUUGCCCAACCCCUGAUGAAAUUUAGAAAUUAGGUAAAUUGAUACUCACAAUCUUCUGUUUAUUGGGAUAAGCAUUUGAAGGAGCAGACGUCAAAG